rnacentral:lncRNA from 1 species
GGGAGGGAUACUAGGCUCUGUGUUGACAGUGUGAGGCCUGCUUGGGAUUCUCUCCUUCCCCUCCUCCUCUCCUACCCUCUCUCCUUCUCCCCCUCACCCCCUCCUCCUCCUUCUCUUCUCCCCUCCUCCUCCUUCUCUUAUCCCCUCCUCCUCCCCCUCCCUCUGACAGCGAGCUGCCCAUCUGGCAAAACCCUCCGUGGUGGCCGAAAGACCUGGAGAGCAGAGGACCCACCGCAGGGACAUCGGAGACUCGAUGCUCUCCUGUCUGCGCCUUAGGAGUAGCUCUCCAGUCUUCACAGCGAGGAACUAAGUGA